rnacentral:lncRNA from 1 species
GAGGCAGAGAGGAGGGAUGGAAGAUCCCAAAGGGCUCCGAAAGCACCUCCAGGGGAGGCGCCCCACAUCCACGGGCCCUACAGCGCCAGCGUGUCCUUGAUGAGGCGCCGCAUGGUGGUGGUGACGGAGGUGCCCAGCGUGUCGGUGAUCUGGUAGGAGAUCUUGUACAGGUAGGGCUGCACGUCCUUCAGGCUGGUGUCGAAGACGUUGUCCACCUCGGACUGGGUGGGCAUUUUGGGCAGGUACUCGUGGCGGUUCAUCACCUCCACGAUGUUGAUGAUCUUCUCGCACAGCUUCUCGCCCACCUUCUCGCGGCAGAUCUGCCUCUCCUGCUCGUUGGCCAGGUUCACCACGUUCACUUUGAUGGUCCACAGCUCCCAGGGGAUGCACUCAUCCGAGAAGGGCCAACGGGAUUUCUUCUUCUGGUAGAACUCCAAGGAGAUCUGCCCCAUCCCGUCGCUGCCUGAGCUGCGCAGCGCGUCCUUGAAUUCCCCCACAGCUUUGCGCAGGGCCCGGUCGAGCUCCUCGGAGGAGACACGGACAUAAGCAAAAUCAAUGAAGUCGCAGUCCACAUCCUGAGUGCCAACAGUGCCAAUGGAGUAGGUGCCCUCCUUCUUGUAGUGGAACUUGCCGGUGCUGCGGUGCAGCAGGACGGUGUGCAGCACGGCCAGCAUGGCCUCCUCCACCUGCCGGCCCUCCACCGACACCUCCAGCACUUCAGCACGGCAGUUCAUGGCGGCAGCGCGGCUGCGGGGGCCGCUGGAGGUGCGCGCGGCGCCCACCAUCCGCCGGGAGUUGUGGGGACGGAGCGGCCCACGGCGCGAAGAAGGAGGGGGGGGUUUCUCCUCCCAUGGUGUGGAGGAAUGCAGGGGAUUCCUCCCAUAUCGCACCUAUUUAUCCUCUCUUCUCUUUGUUUUCCACCUCUGUGAUGUCCUCUGACAUUGCACCUCUUUAAUACCCCCCCCAGCCGGCACGCGGCCCCAGAAGAUGAAAACCCGCGCCACCCCCCCCAACCCCC